GGGGGGACACGGGUGCUCGCUCGUCGAGCGUGCUCGACGGGAGGAAAGUCCGGACUCCAAGGGCAGGGACGCUGGAUAACGUCCAGGCGGAGCGAUCCGACACCAGCACCACAGAGAAUAAACCGCCGAUGGCCGGUGCAAGGAUUUCGAUCGCUUGCACGGGAUCAGGUAAGGGUGAAACGGUGGGGUAAGAGCCCACCGCGGUGAUGGCGACAUCAACGGCACGGUAAGCGUCGUCCGGAGCAAGACCAAAUAGGGGGACGCCUGUGGGCUCGCGAGAGCUCGGCAGAAAGGCCGGCCCGGCCGAGGUCCUCGGGUAGGUUGCUUGAGGCUCGAGGUAACUUGAGUCCCAGAGAAAUGAUCACCCCCGUGUGAGCGCAAGCUUCACGCGGGACAGAAUCCGGCUUAUAGGGUUUCUCCAACG
rnacentral:RNase_P_RNA from 1 species